rnacentral:rRNA from 1 species
UACAGAGGUCCCGAGCGUUGUUCGGAUUCACUGGGCGUAAAGGGUGCGUAGGCGGUCGGAUAAGUUUGAUGUGAAAUCUCCGGGCUUAACCCGGAAACUGCAUUGAAUACUAUUCGGCUUGAGGUCUGGAGGGGGGACUGGAAUUCUCGGUGUAGCAGUGAAAUGCGUAGAUAUCGAGAGGAACACCAGUGGCGAAGGCGGCUCACUGGCCCGAUACUGACGCUGAGGCACGAAAGCGUGGGUAGCAAACAGG